UACAGAGGUCCCGAGCGUUGUUCGGAUUCAUUGGGCGUAAAGGGUGCGUAGGCGGUCUGCUAAGUUUUGGUGUGAAAUCCCGGGGCUCAACCCUGGAAUGGCAUUGAAUACUGGCGGACUAGAGUACCGGAGAGGAAACUGGAAUUUACGGUGUAGCAGUGAAAUGCGUAGAGAUCGUAAGGAAGACCAGUGGCGAAGGCGAGUUUCUGGACGGUAACUGACGCUGAGGCACGAAGGCCAGGGGGAGCAAACGGGG
rnacentral:rRNA from 1 species